GUGCCAGGCGCUAUAUCAAAAGCUUUACAAAGCACAUUUAAUUCUCACCCAACCUAUAUUAAAAAUAAGGAAAUAGAAUAGGAUUUGGACAAAUGCCUCCAAGUUAUAUUUCCUUACUCUGAGGAGCCACUAGUUUUUAAAAUAUUUUUAUUUGUUCUUUUUAGAUAUAUAUGAGAGUAGAGUGUAUUUUGACAUACACAUACAUGGAGUAUAACUUAUCUAAUUAGGAUCCCAUUCUUGUAGUUGUACGUGAUGCGGAAUUUCACUGGUGAUAUGUUUAUAUACGUACAUAAGAAAGUUGUGUCAGAUUCAUUCCACUGUCUUUCCUAUUCCCAUCCUCCUUCCUUCCCUUCAUUCCUCUUUGUCUAAUCCAUUGAACUUCUAUUCUUCCCUCCCUCACCCUUGUUGUAUGUCAGCAUCCACAUAUCAGAGAAAACAUUCGACCGUUUGAUUUUUGAGGAUUGGCUUAUUUACCUUUGCAUGAUAUUCUCCAGAUCCAUCCAUUUACCAGCAAAAGUCAUAAAGUCAUUCAUUUUUAUGGCUGAGUAAUACUCCAUUGUGUAUAUGUACCACCUUUUCUUUAUCCAUUCAUCUGCUGUUGGGCGCCUAGGUUGACUCUGUAGCUUAACUAUUGUGAAUUGAGCUGCUAUAAACAUUGAUGUGGCUGCAUCAUGGUAGUGUGAGAGCCACAGAUUGAUUUGUAAGCUCUUUAACAGACAGUAUAAAGGAAAGAGCCAGGUUAAUAUAGAGCCACAGUGACUUUAAAGGUGAAAGCAUGCCCAGCUUUGGAGGAGCCUGGCUCUCUGUCCUGGUAACCUCAGCAGCAGUGGCAUCUUUGGAACAUCAAGACAGGAGGGCAUGACAAAGGGCCAGGAGUUGGGAGUGUAUAGCAUUAGAGGUGAGAGCUAUUUGUCAUGAAUCUGCAUUAAGGUAACUUCACCUAAACUUGUUCAAGGGGCUGGGGAUGUGGCUCAAGUGAUAGCGCGCUUGCCUGGCAUGCGUGCGGCCCGGGUUCGAUCCUCAGCACCACGUACAAAGAUGUUGUGUCCGCCCAAAACUUAAAAAUAAAUAAAUAAAUUGAUACCU
rnacentral:lncRNA from 1 species